rnacentral:tRNA from 1 species
CGGGGCGUAGCUCAGCUUGGUAGAGCGCGGUCUUUGGGUGGCCGAGGUCGCACGUUCAAAUCGUGUCGCCCCGA